rnacentral:lncRNA from 1 species
CUGUCCACAUAAGAAAGUCCUCAAAGCGCCAAACCACAAAGAAACAUAUGCACUCCCACGGACUCUGGGUACGGGCUAGCACGUUGCCCGCGUGGAAGUGUUGAGGUAAAUGUUGUCCAGGCAUGGGCAAACGCUUCGGGAGAUUUGUGUCGUACAGAACUCCCAAAAAAGUAAUAGAGUUCCCAAAGCCGGCCGGCUUGUAGAAAUAGGAUCAUACGUCGUAUUCAAAUGUCAAACUAUUGCAAAAAACACAAUUCGUUCCGCGGCCUUGUAACCGAGAUUGUACUGGAGGACAGCAAUAGGCCCGUUCCCGAAACCAGAAAUACCCCUUUGCCGAUGUCUGGUCAGUCUGCCACCUGGCUCGUACGCGGUAGUUGGCUUUUGCUGUGGCUC